UACGUAGGGUCCGAGCGUUGUCCGGAAUUAUUGGGCGUAAAGGGCUCGUAGGCGGUCUGUCGCGUCGGUAGUGAAAACUUACAGCUUAACUGUGAGCGUGCUUCCGAUACGGGCAGACUUGAGGUAUUCAGGGGAGAACGGAAUCCUGGUGUAGCGGUGAAAUGCGCAGAUAUCAGGAGGAACACCGGUGGGCGAAGGCGGUUCUCUGGGAAUAUCCUGA
rnacentral:rRNA from 1 species